CGGGGUGUGGCCUAGUCCGGUCCAGGGCGCAACGGUGGGGCCGUUCAGAUCGAGAGUUCAAAUCUCUCCACCCCGA
rnacentral:tRNA from 1 species